rnacentral:rRNA from 1 species
AACGAACGCUGGCGGCAUGCCUAACACAUGCAAGUCGAACGAGACCUUCGGGUCUAGUGGCGCACGGGUGCGUAACGCGUGGGAACCUGCCCUUAGGUUCGGAAUAACUCCCCGAAAGGGGUGCUAAUACCGGAUAAUGUCUUCGGACCAAAGAUUUAUCGCCUGUGGAUGGGCCCGCGUUGGAUUAGCUAGUUGGUAGGGUAAAAGCCUACCAAGGCGACGACCCAUAGCUGGUUUGAGAGGAUGAUCAGCCACACUGGGACUGAGACACGGCCCAGACUCCUACAGGAGGCAGCAGUGGGGAAUAUUGGACAAUGGACGAAAGCCUGAUCCAGCAAUGCCGGGUGAGUGAUGAAGGCCUUAGGGUUAUAAAGCUCUUUUACCCGGGAUGAUAAUGAGAGUACCGGGAGGAUAGGCUCCGGCUAAGUCCGUG